GAUGAACGCUGGCGGCGUGCCUAAUACAUGCAAGUCGAGCGAAUGGAUUAAGAGCUUGCUCUUAUGAAGUUAGCGGCGGACGGGUGAGUAACACGUGGGUAACCUGCCCAUAAGACUGGGAUAACUCCGGGAAACCGGGGCUAAUACCGGAUAACAUUUUGAACCGCAUGGUUCGAAAUUGAAAGGCGGCUUCGGCUGUCACUUAUGGAUGGACCCGCGUCGCAUUAGCUAGUUGGUGAGGUAACGGCUCACCAAGGCAACGAUGCGUAGCCGACCUGAGAGGGUGAUCGGCCACAAUGGGACUGAGACACGGCCCAGACUCCUACGGGAGGCAGCAGUAGGGAAUCUUCCGCAAUGGACGAAAGUCUGACGGAGCAACGCCGCGUGAGUGAUGAAGGCUCUCGGGUCGUAAAACUCUGUUGUUAGGGAAGAACAAGUGCUAGUUGAAUAAGCUGGCACCUUGACGGUACCUAACCAGAAAGCCACGGCUAACUACGUGCCAGCCGCCGCUGUAA
rnacentral:rRNA from 1 species